GCUCCAAUAGCGUAUAUUUAAGUUGUUGCAGUUAAAAAGCUCGUAGUUGGACCUUGGGUUGGGUCGCCGGUCCGCCUCGCGGUGUGCACCGGCCGUCUCGUCCUUCUGCCGGUGAUGCGCUCCUGGCCUUAAUUGGCCGGGUCGUGCCACCGGCGCUGUUACUUUGAAGAAAUUAGAGUGCUCAAAGCAAGCCUACGCUC
rnacentral:rRNA from 1 species